GGAUAGCAUCUCCCGUCGACAUAGCAUAGUGUGGACCCCACGAUAAGUAGAUCUAAGCGACGUCAGCUUGAGUUACACUACUAACGUAACUCAAAUUACGUAGCUUAAAUCACCCAGCAGUGUAGUGUAGACCAGGCCU